GCGGAGGAAAAGAAAAUAACAAUGAUUUCCCUAGUAACGGCGAGUGAAGAGGAAAGAGCUCAAAGUUGGAACCUGUUUGGCUUAGCUAAACCGGAUUGUAAACUGUAGAAGUGUUUUCCUGACACGCCUGGUAAAAAAGUCCUUUGGAACAGGGCAUCAUAGAGGGUGAGAAUCCCGUGUUUGGCCAGAGCUGUUGUCUUUUGUGAUACAUUUUCAAAGAGUCAGGUUGUUUGGGAAUGCAGCCUAAAUUGGGUGGUAAAUCUCACCUAAAGCUAAAUAUUUGCGAGAGACCGAUAGCGAACAAGUACCGUGAGGGAAAGAUGAAAAGAACUUUGAAAAGAGAGUUAAACAGUAUGUGAAAUUGUUAAAAGGGAACCGUUUGGAGCCAGACUGGCUUGACUGUAAUCAAUCUAGGCUUCGGCCUGGAUGCACUUGCGGUUUAUGCCUGCCAACGACAAUUUUUUUUGAGGGAAAAAACUAUUAGGAAUGUGGCCCCUCUCGAGGGGUGUUAUAGCCUUUUAGAAAAUACCUUGAAUUGGAUUGAGGAACGCAGUGAAUGCCUUUAGGCAAGAUUGCUGGGUGCUUUCGUUAAUAAAUGCUAGAAUUUCUGCUUCGGGUGGUGUUAGUGUUUAAAGAUGGAACUCGCCUAGUAUAUUUUUUAUUCGCUUAGGUUGUUGGCUUAAUGACUCUAAAUGAC
rnacentral:rRNA from 1 species